UCAUUCAACAAGUUUUUAUUGAGCACCUACUCUGUGCCCAGCACUGCACCAGGUGCCAUGGAGAAUACAAGAGAAGUACAAGAUAUGGUUAUCCGCCCUCAAAGAACUUACAAAACGAGAGGCAGAAGUCAGAUGUACAUGGGACUCAGGCAGCAUGUGAUGUGUACAAAGAGUGCAAGUUCAGACAAUGCAGUGGCCAAGAGACCACUGAGAUCCGCAGGGGCUGGGAACAGUCUCCGGGGGGGGGGGGGCUACAAACAGGCGGGCAUUGGCAGAGCGCCCGGAAUGGGUAUGGACAAAGGCUGCGAGGUAACUGCCUGGAGCAGGAGGUUGCGUUAAACUGUGUGCACUAGGGGAGCCUGGACAGACUCUGGGACUUGGGUUGGGCCCAUGGACAGUGACCAACACUUUGAUCCCUCUUGAUGGGAAGACCUGGUGGGUUGUUGGGGUUGCUGGCUGCCUUCCUCUCUUCAGCUGGCACAGCCCUGUCUUGCCCUCCCCAGCCCCUCUCCCGGGAAAAUGGAACCUGGGCGUUGAGUGGGGCCAGUGCGGAAGCUUAAUACCCUGCUGGUACCCUGAUCAGGGCUAGCAAGGCAGGGGCGGUCUUGCCUGACUGGAUAUUCACCCUGGUGCUUUUUUAUAUAAACUAAUCAACUAUCGAAUAUUCUGGAUUCUUUUAAAAACUUUCCUCAGGAGGACCAGCACAGAGAGAUAAUUUAUUGAUCACCGAUCACAACUACCCUAACGCCACAUGUAUCCAGAUCCUUCCUCUUAGACCACAGGUGGCUUCAGGGAGUCCCACCUCCUCGUGCCGGAAACCUCACAUGCUCAGCUUGGGUCCCAGAGAAGCAGGGACUCCUCUCUGGACCUUCUGAGCAGAUGCUUUCCACUGGCCCCAGGCACCUUAAACGGCCUGGGAAGUCUCAGUGGACUGCCACUCAGUUCAUGUCCAACAUUUCCAUGUGCCUUUAACUCUGAGUCAGGGCGGCAGCAGGUGUGUUUAAAGGGCCAGGGAAGGCAGGUAAAGAAGCAGAUUUGGGCAAAGGGGAAGUCAUGGGAUUGGAGGACAGAAAAAUGGCCUUGGGUGUACCAAGACCAAAGACCAGUUUGGUCUUUCCCAAGAACAGGGGGGCAAGAAAAUGCUGCCUUGCCUCUGCUCGCCAAGGAGAGGCUGGGGCUGGGUUGAAGGCAGUGGGCAGGAGGGAGGAGCCCUCAUGGACUUCAGGGUUGGAAGUCCGCACAGGAACCUCCGGAGGCGGGAGAAGAGGGCUGGACAGAGGGAAUAGCACUGGGUGAGGUCCCAAGGGGGCCACAGCCACAAGGAGGGAGUGGCGGCCGACUGGGGGUUCCUCCCCUCGCCUGCUCGAGGUGCUCCAUUGGCCUCUCCUCCCCCGUCAGAGCCCAGAGACCUGAGGCAUCGGUGGGGGUGGAGCC
rnacentral:lncRNA from 1 species